rnacentral:rRNA from 1 species
UACGUAGGGGGCAAGCGUUGUCCGGAUUUAUUGGGCGUAAAGAGCGUGUAGGCGGCCAGGGAGGUCAGCUGUGAAAACUCGAGGCUCAACCUCGAGACGCCGGUUGAAACCAUCUGGCUAGAGUCCGGAAGAGGAGAGUGGAAUUCCUGGUGUAGCGGUGAAAUGCGCAGAUAUCAGGAAGAACACCCGUGGCUAAGGCGGCUCUCUAGUACGGUACUGACGCUGAGACGCGAAAGCGUGGGGAGCGAACAGG